ensembl:processed_transcript
CACACACACACACACACACACACACACGCAUAUGAGCUGCUUCCAAAGCUCCUCAAGUACAGUUUUCCAGCAAACAAAUCAGCUUUAUCUAAUGUCUCGCUGUUCGGCAAACCUGGCCUACAGAUGCACUAAAGGCUGACCACUUUUAAGUCAGUGAGCGUUGCUCAACAGGCCACUUCCACAGAUGGUCCUGUGCUGUAAGCCUGCCCCCCUUCCACACACACACACACACACACACACACACACACCAACUUCUAAUUGCAAGAUUUAGCUUUUGAAUGCAUUUUGAGUUGAAGAUCUUUUUCCUGCUGUUUUAUUAUUAUGAAAGAAGGAAACGUGGCUUGUUGAUUUGUGUACAGCAUAAACAAUUUUUCUCAAAGAUCCUGUAUUGCUGUUAUUGAAUGAUAACUCAAUUUCCCUUAAAUGCAAAGGUCUGUAAAUUUUGGUUAGCUGCUCCAAUGAAAAUGUUGGGACUGAGGUAGAAACCCCCUCAUGAUCUUUCUGUUAAGCACUGAUUGCAUCCUUUAUUGGAAAUACUGUAUCUGGAACUGUCAUCAGUACGGAUCAGCCAUGCUAAACUAGACAUUCAGGCUGUGUGGAAAAUCUAUACAGGCGACGUCAAAGAAAUAGUGGACACUUAACUCUCAUCUGAUACUACAAAUGUCAAAUUUAAUGUCAUUUAUCUAAUAGCUUGGUCUAAACUAGUUAUUCUGUUUCCUGAUGUGCAUAUAAUGGGGUGGGCGAU